UACGGAGGAUGCAAGCGUUGUCCGGAUUUACUGGGCGUAAAGGGAGCGCAGGCGGACUUUUAAGUGAGAUGUGAAAUACCCGGGCUCAACUUGGGUGCUGCAUUUCAAACUGAAAGUCUAGAGUGCAGGAGAGGAGAAUGGAAUUCCUAGUGUAGCGGUGAAAUGCGUAGAGAUUAGGAAGAACACCAGUGGCGAAGGCGAUUCUCUGGACUGUAACUGACGCUGAGGCUCGAAAGCGUGGGGAGCAAACAGGAUUAGA
rnacentral:rRNA from 1 species